UGUAUCCGAAUUGGAGUUCGAUUCCACUUAACACCCAAGGGCAGAUGUUCAACGAAUUUAAGAAAUAUUAUGUAUGGGCUCCCGAACACGAGGAUGACGUUCAAGUGAACUUCAAGCUUAAAGCUUCAAAGUUGCUUUCUAGCACAUUUUGUGACUGUCG